GAGAGAGAGAGAGAGAGAGAGAGAGGAGGAAGGAAACCAGGAGAGAGGGAGGGACGUGAGGGGGCGGGGAGGAUGAGAAAAUCAGAAACAGAGGUGGUCAGUGAGGGCAAAGAGGGAAAAUAAGUCCAGGAAAUGAGGGAGGGGGGUGCUAGAAAGCUCCAUGGUGGCAAACAAAAGACAAACUUAACCUGCAUUCUUCGAGGAUUGUUGCCAUCAUCUUGUGUUUCUUGCCUCUUUGCACCUUCUAUCUAUCAAUAGCCAAACUGGAAUUCCAAAGUGGCCCACCUACCAUUUUUUUCUUGUCUGCAUGGCCCUCUUCUUCUGCCAUCUGGUACCUGAUGAACAAGUCAGUGAUGCUUUUGAGUGGACAAGGUCACCGGAGGGCUCUACCCAGAAGUCCUCUCAGCCAAUCAGAGGGCAGCAUUCAUCUCCACCUGGCAGCGAAGAGAUAUUCGAUGUGGGAUGAAAAUAAGGUGGACAUUCGUGUGGGAAGCAGGGUGGUACUAGGGGGAGGGAGAUCCCAGGCUAAUUUACUGGAAACCGAGCUAUCACGGUCAACAGCUCCUUCCAGGAUGUGACUCAUUCAUGAACUGCACGGGGGUCGCGAGGAAGGGAGGAAAUGGAUUGGUGCCUUUAUUUGGGCUCAGGCACCAAGAGCGGCUUGAAAUUGCUUCAUUGUUGUUAUUCUGGACAAUUAAGACUUUCCAUGCUCAAAAUGCUUGGGAUUUAUUCUUACAAUUAAAUUAAAAUGAAUUAAUAAAAAAUAGUCAGGAUUCUUUUAAAACUAGAAAAAAUAUAUACCAAAUUUCUCUUAAAAAAUAUUCAAUUUUUUCCUUAUUGAGGUGAUGUUAGGCCUUUGUCUUUGUGACAUACUUACGUACAUGGGCAUAUGACAUGAGGAGCCAGCUGAAAGGUUACUUGAGGAGUGACUCACUCACUCAGUCUACUGACGUCGUCCAAUUUGAACUCUAAAUUGUUGACUCAGUAGACGAACGCAUCCGCUCACGACAACCAACAAAUCAUGAUCAAUUCUAUCUAUCUAUUAUUCUAUCUCUCUAUAGCUCUAGCUAUCAAUUAAUCAUUCUGUUUGUAAUUAAAUAUUUUGUAAUCAACUUACUGUCACUUGAAAAUUCUUGAAAUGUGAACAAAUUCAAAACGCAGAAGAUUGUAUCAAGUAUCUAGCAUCAAUUUAUUACUCAAAGCAAUGACUUGAUUCCCCUGAAGUAAUAUGUAUAUUUGAAUUGCGAUUGGUUAAAGAAACAGUCAGAAACACUAGGUAGAUGAAAUUGAUGAAGGCUGAAAUCUGAUUGGACUGCACACCGUAUUUGAAACUUUUGUUGACAGCAGGACAGGCGUUGUCUUUUGCUGUUGCAAUGUUCAGCUCAAUCAAUGAUCACUUUAAGCAAAAGUAAAAAAAAAAAAAAGUACAGGUUCUGAAUUGCACAGUACAAAAUUAUUCUUGUGUGUGUGUGUGUGUGUGUGUGUGUAUUGCUGGGUGUGUUUAUACACUUUUGCUACAAGUCAUUGUUUUUUGUUUUAUUGUUUGUUUGUUUUUUUGUCUGUUUGUUUGUUUUUUUCUACAAGUCAUUGUUGUCUCAUUAACAGCAUCAUGCCUCUUUCACUAUCAGUAAAGCGUUUGUCUUGUAAAUCAGGUGCAGUAAUACAACAUGUCCACCAGAUGGCGAAACGCGCCUUCUCUUUUGAAGACUGCUCCUUUGUGACGUUAGCGCACCUCUACCAAAGGUUUAAAAGACGACAAACAAAACAAGAAAACAAAAUACUUCAAUUAUCAGUAGAGGUUAAAGAGUACUGAUGUACAAUUGUAAAUGUUUUGAUCAGUUUUUCAGUUAUAAACUUUAAUUGAGCAUUUAUUUUGCCUGACGAUUUGUUUUACUUUUACUACUUACAUUAAAAAUAAGUAUCUGAA